AACGAACGCUGGCGGCAUGCCUAACACAUGCAAGUCGAACGAUUGCCUUCGGGUGAUAGUGGCGCACGGGUGCGUAACGCGUGGGAAUCUGCCCUUAGGUUCGGAAUAACAGCUGGAAACGGCUGCUAAUACCGGAUGAUAUCGCGAGAUCAAAGAUUUAUCGCCUGAGGAUGAGCGCGCGUUGGAUUAGGUAGCUGGUGGGGUAAAGGCCUACCAAGCCGACGAUCCAUAGCUGGUCUGAGAGGAUGAUCAGCCACACUGGGACUGAGACACGGCCCAGACUCCUACGGGAGGCAGCAGGGGGGAAUAUUGGACAAUGGGCGCAAGCCUGAUCCAGCAAUGCCGCGUGAGUGAUGAAGGCCCUAGGGUUGUAAAGCUCUUUUACCCGGGAAGAUAAUGACUGUACCGGGAGAAUAAGCCCCGGCUAACUCCGUG
rnacentral:rRNA from 1 species